GGCUGGCUUUCUUUCCACAAGCAUGGCCAGAUGACGAGGCUCACCCGCAGCACUACUCACACCUCCAGGAAGGGAAGUUGAUGGCAGGGUUCUGGCUGCAGCCAGGCCUGCGGGAGCUUCCUCCCUGAUCUCUCUCACUCAAGGGGAAAGCUCAGGGCUGGGCAUGAAGGCUGGGGAAAGGCAGGGAAGGCAGAGUCCCCCCAGGCUGGUCAAGGCCCCGAUAGCCCCAUGUCUCCCUGAGGGGGCGGCUUUCCCCAUGAAGAGGGUCCUGGUCACCAAGGCAUGAGGACAUGCCCAAGGCUGGCCCAUCACAACAGGCUCCAGCUCUUGUGCACAUGUGUGAUCUUCUUGUCCCACCAAAGGCGGGAAAAAGAAGUGCGUGGCCUCCUGCCCCAGAUUUGGUGGUAGGGUCAGUGGUGCUGACCUCAGUGCUGUGUGAUACCAGCCCCCCAGCCUUUACCUGGUUCAUGUCCCACAUCGCCUAUCGGUCCCCGCUCCUUCAGUCUGGGACCUUGGCCUGCUCAGUCCUUUUGUGGGGAGCCACAUCCAUUCACAGUGACUGUUGAGUCUAAUGACAGACACCCAAGUGCUGCAAAGCCAGAGCAGCAGCCCCUGAAAGGGUGACUCUGGGGUCUCACCCCAUCCCCACUCCUGCCCUGUCCUCUGGUGAGGGCUUCCCUCCUGCUGCCUCAGACCGUCCUGUCUACCCUCAGAGACCCUGUUGGGAGGCUUCCCUCCAACAAGGCACCGUCCCCAGAGGAGAAGGGAGCCCAGCACUCCUGGGACUGUGGGGUCCUUGGUCCACUCACCACUGCCACAUGCCUCAGGGAGCCCUCAGAGCAGGGGCUGAGCUGGGGCCCCAGGGUUCCCAUGCCCUGGGUGAGCAUGGUGCCCUCUUACAGCCUGGGCUGCCCAAGUGUUCCAGGCAUCCUGUCAUUCAGCAGAGAUCUUUCCUCGGUGCCUUCUCUGGAUUGGGUGGGCUGCUGAGCUCUGGGGCUGCUGCAGUGUAUUAUUUAAUAGAUGGGUGCUUCCCUGCUCUCCAGGGUCCCCCUCUGGGAGAGCCAGCACAGGAGCUAACCAGUCAGAGGAGAAGGCGGUGUAGACCAACUGGUGCAGGGGAGACCAUGGGGGUGCUGGGCAAGACAGGGACUUGGCGGAACACAUGAGAUGAGGUAGCUGGGAGGUUGUCUUUAAGCUGAGACCUGAAGGGUGAUUGAUAGAGAGCCAGGCCGGCUGCAGCGUGGGAAAGCCUGCGCACCUGUCCCCCAACCCCAGCGGUCCCUCCCAUCCCACCCACCCUCUGCAGGCUCGUGGAGGAGUUCAUGCUCUUGGCCAACAUGGCAGUGGCCCACAAGAUCCACCGCGCCUUCCCCGAGCAGGCCCUGCUGCGCCGGCACCCCCCGCCCCAAACAAGGAUGCUCAGUGACCUGGUGGAAUUCUGCGACCAGAUGGGGCUGCCCGUGGACUUCAGCUCCGCAGGAGCCCUCAAUAAAAGCCUGACCCAAACAUUUGGAGAUGACAAGUACUCACUGGCCCGGAAGGAGGUGCUCACCAACAUGUGCUCCCGGCCCAUGCAGAUGGCACUGUACUUCUGCUCGGGGCUGCUGCAGGACCCAGCGCAGUUCCGGCACUACGCGCUCAAUGUGCCCCUGUACACACACUUCACCUCGCCCAUCCGCCGCUUUGCCGACGUCCUGGUGCACCGCCUCCUGGCUGCCGCGCUAGGCUAUAGGGAGCGACUAGACAUGGCGCCCGAUACCCUGCAGAAACAGGCGGACCACUGUAACGACCGCCGCAUGGCGUCCAAGCGCGUGCAGGAGCUCAGUACCAGUCUCUUCUUUGCUGUUCUGGUCAAGGUGAGCCCUCCAGCCUGGUGCCCCUCACCUCCCUCUGGCUCCUGACCCUCCUGGGCACCUGCUCACCAGGAGGCCUCGAGGAGCCCAGGGCAGUGCCAGGAGGUGCCAUGGCUGCAGCACUGUCCCUGCAGGAGAGUGGCCCCCUGGAGUCAGAAGCCAUGGUGAUGGGCGUCCUGAAGCAAGCCUUCGAUGUGCUGGUGCUGCGCUACGGCGUGCAGAAGCGCAUCUACUGCAACGUGAGUGCCCUGGGAGAGCCCGGGGUGGGGGUGGUGGGGGCAGCCCAAGCCAUCCCGCACUGGAGGGGCACAGGCUGUGAUGGGUCACACUCCACCCCUCGCUCCCCCAGCCCUAGCACAAAGCCCACCUGAUGGGCCUUGCUGAGACGCCCAGCUCUCCCACCUGGGAUGGUGGCUCCAGGCCCAGGGUCAGGCCUGGCCCCCUUCCCCAAGGACCCAGGAACCAGAGAGCAGGCCCCUCCAUGGCCAGUACAGCUCGGCAGGGUGUGCAGGCUUUGGGGACUGUGUUUAUAGGAACGUGAAGGAAUGAAAGGCCAGCAAAUGGUCCGUGGCCGCUCUGGAAACUGUGUCCCCUGAAGACAAGGAAGAGAGCUGUCCCUGGCUCGGCUCCUGCCCUGAGUGACUGUUGACUCACAGUUCUCUCUCCAAGGGGACAUGGGCCUGUCCUAAUGCUGCCUUAGGGGCUUGGCUCCAGCUGGCCCUGGGGUCUGCAGGUCACCACCUGCCCCUGUGCCUGGCUUUGAAUUUCCUAACAUCCAGAGUGCCCUGGGAGUGCAGUGUCCAGCCUGUUGUGUGCAGUAAACGUGGUGUUCAUAACCUGGAGCUGGGCAGAAGAGGAACGACAGAGUCCCCCUGCAGACCCUGGGGGCUCUGUAUCCUGAAGUUCAAGCCUAGCUCACCCUGCCGUGGGCCCAGCCCUGCCUGCACUGACAGAUGGCACCAGCAGGGGGCGCAGCGCUCCGCCGCCACAGUUCUCUGUCCCCACCUCAGUGCAGUCAGCCCUGGACGCCUCCACCACUUGCCCCCAGUAGCACACAGAGCCACGGGCCUUCCCAGCCCCCACCCCUGGCCCUUGGUCACUCUCACCUGCUGCCUCAGCUGAAGGUGGCCUGGCAGGGCCUCCCUGAAUCUCCCUCCAGCCAGGCAAGGGUGGGCCAGGGCCGAGGGCGGAGGGCCGCCUCCAAGCAUUGAAGCCCGCCAGGGUGGAAGGGCAGGCAACAGCAUCCAGAGCUGAGGCCUGAGGCUUGGUGUUUGCACUCCAGGCACUGGCCCUGCGGUCCCACCACUUCCAGAAGGUGGGCAAGAAGCCGGAACUCACGCUGGUCUGGGAGCCUGAGGACAUGGAGCAGGAGCCAGCACAGCAGGUCAGAACCCCUCUGUGUCCCAGCCCCCCAAGUCCUGAUGACCCCUCUCCUGCCUCCUGCGGUGCCCCUCAUUCCUUCAUCUGUGUCCCCUGGGCUCCCCCAGCACUGCAGCCUCCCGGUGGGGUUUCAGGGCCCUCCCAGCUCACCCAGACCCCCUCCUGUGGGUCCUGCUUUCUGGCACCACCUUCCCUUCCUUGGGGGCAACCACAGUGGAGAGAGGAGGGGCUCUGCCUGUCCCGCUAAUGCAGGGGUGCUGGCCUUCUGGGGUCCUUUAGAGAACCUGAUGAAAGCUAUGAGUUUACACCCAAGAAAUUGUCUGGAACCGUUUUCACCAACAAUGUGCCCUGAACGCGGACCCAGGCCCUCAGGUUGUGUUUCAUAAGCCUUGGGAGCACUCAGGAUGCAUCUGACUCCCCAACUCUGCCCUGACCCAGGGCAUUCUUCCUGGAGGGGGCCCCCAUUACAGACAGGCGAGCAGAGGCUUCCAGAGGCCGAAGGAGGGGCCUGGGGUCCUGCUGCAGGGAUGGAGGCAGAGCUGCGCCUCGACAUCAGGCCCUGCCAUCCUUGUCCCCUCACGGCUGGGCUCUGCACAGGUCAUCACCAUCUUCAGCCUGGUGGAGGUGGUCCUGCAGGCAGAGUCCACAGCCCUCAAGUACAGCGCCAUCCUGAAGCGGCCAGGCACCCAGGGCCACCUGGGCCCUGAGAAGGAGGAGGAGGAGGAGGAGUCUGACGGUGAGCCCGAGGACUCAAGCACCAGCUGAGCUCCACCAGCCGCCUGCCCCGCCUGCCUGUCCCGCCACACUGGCUUUAGGACCUGUUGACACGGAGGGGGGUUUUUAAUUUGGUUUUUAACAACUCAGGGGUUUGUUUUUAUUUUUAUUUAAUUUUUGCAGCUCAACUUUUAAACAAACUGCAGGGGAGAGGGUGGGGCUGGAAGGAAGGCUGAGGCCUGGUCAGCAGUGACCCCAGCAGAGCAGGCCCUAGUCCUCCUGGGAGGCUGGCCCCCCUUUUUUCUGGGCCCUACUGCCCUCCUCUGCCCAGGAAAUGGGGGGUUUCAGCAAAUCAGUGUCACAGAAUAAAAUCAAGUGUGGAGUGCC
rnacentral:sRNA from 1 species